UACGGAGGGAGCUAGCGUUGUUCGGAAUUACUGGGCGUAAAGCGCGCGUAGGCGGCUUUGUAAGUUAGCGGUGAAAGCCCGGGGCUCAACCCCGGAAUUGCCUUUAAGACUGCAUCGCUUGAAUCCGGGAGAGGUGAGUGGAAUUCCGAGUGUAGAGGUGAAAUUCGUAGAUAUUCGGAAGAACACCAGUGGCGAAGGCGGCUCACUGGACCGGCAUUGACGCUGAGGUGCGAAAGCGUGGGGAGCAAACAGG
rnacentral:rRNA from 1 species